rnacentral:tRNA from 1 species
GAGAGAGGUAUUAUACAAUAAGAACUGCUAAUUCAUAUAUCUAGGAUUAAUUCUCCUAGCUCCCUCA